rnacentral:lncRNA from 1 species
AACAUUACUAUGUAAGAGGUUCCGUGUUUUUCCCAAUCUCUCCCCUCAUUUGAUUUCUGUUUCACGACUGAGCAAAAUAGCCCUAACUCUCUUCUCUCCUGGAAACUUUCACAAAACAUGCCUUUCUCCAACUCUCUAGACGAAGUCAAGACCGAAUCUAAGUAGCCCAGAGUUCCUUCGAUAAACUUAGCUGCAGAAAGGAAAAGCCCUAUAAUCGGACCCCUCAAGCCCUCACUUCGAUUUUGCUGGUUCCACACUUCGAUUCGGUAAGGGUUUCGAUUCAAAUGACUUCUUUUCCUUUUGCGAUUUGAAAUUUAUAUCUAACAAUUAAACAAUUUAAUUUGGAGUUGGAAAAGGGGUUUUGUUAGAUCUCUGCUUCUAAACUUCUAGUCUAAGGGCUGUUUUCUUAUUUUUUUUUGUUCUUUUUUGUUUUUGUUUUUCUCUUUUCUCAGGCAGCCAUCUUAAAAUCUUAAACUUCACCGACCUGGGCUAUUGCAAAAAUUGCACUGUGUAUCAAUGUUUAAAUAUGAUUCUACUUAUUUGGGUAUUAAUUGUUUAUGGGACUGAGUUGUUAAUCAAUUGUAAUUGCUAAGCUAUUAUUUGUACUUUGUUUGAUGCAAGGACCUUUUGGUCGUAUUUUCAAAAUUUUCUAAUAUUAGUUUUGUAUAAUUGAACAUCUUUUUAAUUUGGUGGAUUCCAGUUUUUUUUAAUUACAAACAUAAAUGCUCCAAGUUCUAUGCAGUUGGUUGGAAAUACUGUAGGUACUUGUUUUCAGUACGUAAAUGCUCCAACUUGUUAUUGGACAGAUCCAAUGUUUGAAGUUUAGGAAGAUUGCCAAGUCCCGGAGGGAUUUGGCCCGUGAUAUUGUUGUUCUGCAAUAGCCUGCAUCCCACAUUAGAAAUUUAGGACAAGAAAUAAACUGGGUUGUGAAUUUUUCAAAAAACAAAACAAGUAUUGGUUUCUUACACUUAUCUAAGAUUUGUGAGGUUAGCUAACCACUCUAACAAAAAUCCUGAUAAACCUUGGCUUGGAGCUCCACUACAAUACACAGAAAUUGACAUUUUUUUAACAUUAAAAUAGUCAAAUAAAACAUAAAUAUAUACACGUGUGUUUAGAUAUUUGAAGGUUCAAGAAAAAAAAUAAAGAAAUUACUAACAAGGCAGUGACACGAUUAUCAGGGGAACAAGUGUCAAACCAAAUGAGGGGAGAGAUUGGGAAAAACACGGAGCCUCUUAAAUAGUAAUGCUCUUUAAGAAAUAUUGCUAUUUAAUAGUAAUGCUCUUGAACGGGACUCAUAUUAUAUAUAUUCCAUUGUUGUGAUUGCUACUUCCAAUAUUUGAAGUCUGCACCCUCUGUUCUCUCUAUGUAAGAUUGUUAAUACUUAUAUUCAAGUACAUAGAGAUUGGUUAUAAUUAAAAUUUAUUUAUUUUAGUCAAUUACUUAAUUCAAAUACUGUAUUCCAUAUUAAGGGGGUGUGUUUCCACCUAGCCGGGUCAAUGAAGCAACAACUACAAUUUGAUUAGCUUAUUUUAAAGCACUGUUGUUCUGAAAAUCGUGUUAGCUCAUCUGAGAUUUAUCGGGUGGCUAGUUGACAUGAUUUAGGGACCUCCAAAGGGAAUUGAGAUCUAUUGAUUUAAUUAAUGAGGCUUUAUUGUAUGUUCCAUGGGGUACUGAAUAUUAUUGGUUUCACUUUGCAUAUUAGGUUAGUAACUGAAUAUUGAUAGGAAUGUUGAUUGCAUAAUUGUUUCGGCUGCCUCAGAGAUAUCUGUCACCACUUAACCUUCGUUAUUUCUAUAUGCAAAUUGGGCCUCCUGGAGGCCAUUGUUAUUCAUAUCUCUUUGUGGCACUGGAUGCUUUUGCUGUCAUUCUUUACUAUUGCAUGCCAUUUUCUAGUAUUUUUUUGUUUCCAGAAUUGGGAAAUGUUCAUUUGAAUUUAUCUUUAUACUUGUUAUAAAUUCUUCAGCUGCUCUUGUAGCUUAGAUGGCAGCAAUACUGGCUUCUCACAGCUGCUAUUGUCGCAACUUGCUUCAUGGUUCAUGGCUGAAAAAACAACCGGUACAACAUAUAUAGAUAAAAACCGGUACCAGACCAGCUAACCGGUUCGGUCCGAUCCGGUACGGUAUGACCGAUGAACACGCCUAAUAUCACCUUCCUUAUAAUGUUUGCAAAUAGUUUGAGUUGAAAAAUGUGGUAUUGCAUACUACUUGUUUGAUGAAAUGUCUGUGAGAAGUCAUUUGCUUUGAUUUGUUCUUCAGUGGGCCUUCAUUAUUGAUUAUAUGCAAUUUGCAAGUGGUUUUGAUGUGGGUAUUUUUGAAACCUAAAGUUAUUACAAUCAACCAACAUGAAAAUAAAAUCUAGAUUAUGAGACAUGCUUUUAAUUAUUAUGAAAAUAAAAUCUAGAUCGUUAUGAUAUACCUUUGAUCUAUGACCUAAUGAACUAAUGUUGAAGAAGCGGAAGGUAGAUUUCAGAAUCCCAAUAAAUUCAUAAAUUAUUCUACUCCAAUCUACAAGCAGAAUCCCAAUAACUAUACUUGGGUUCCUUCAGAAGUAUAGUGUAAAUCAUCUUCUAGCUGUAUUAAUUCAUAAAAAGUUGAUAGUUAUUUGAAAUAAUUUCAUUACACAACUCAAAAUUACAAAUGUCAAAUAAUAACUAGUGUGGUCAAAUCAGGGUUACCAGGAAACUCUUAUCGCCUGUGUGCCUCGUACCAAGUUCUAUUGUUCCAAAUUAUGGUGCGAGAAAUAGAUGCCUUAUGCGCUCUACCAUAGGCAGCAUUCCUUGUACCCCAUUUCGUUCGUGUACCUAGUCGAUCUGCAUUCCUCGCAACCAUGGUCAAAUAUCUAGCAUUUGAAGUGGACUCUUCAAUUGGAACAAGCUAAGAGUCCCUUCGUAUAGAAAGCUUCAGUUAUAACAUUAAUAUGUUAACCCUCUAUUCUUACACUGAGCUCAUUAGACAAUUACCUCUUGCUGCUUAUAUCCAAGCACCAAAAUCAAUAGAUUGGAGAGUUAUAUGACCAAGAUAUAUAUAUCUUUCAAGUGUUGUUUACACAAACCAAACCGCCUUCUGUUUAAGCUGGGAUGGAUGCAAGUUAUAAAUCCCGUUUGCCAUCCUGGAAACUUUUGCCUUUCCAUUACAUGGAGAGUGUAAACACAUGGUGUUGCAGCCAUGCAACCCAUAACAAAACAGCAGCAAGUCCGUGACUGGCUCACCAUUCUUGUUAAAGAUGGUAAACACAAGCCACUAUAAGAUAUCCCAUACAGUAAUGCCUCGUCAUAAUUGGAAUGAUGAUGUUCUGAUUUUUCAUUUAAUAUUUCCUGUUCUAUAUCUUCAGUGGAUGGGAGUUUGCUCAGUUCUGGAUCAAAUCGUUUCUCUAUCAGGAUUUCGUGUAUUCUAUACUUUGCUGCCAGUGUGCGGAUGCAAGACUUCCUUACAAGAUCAGAAACUAUGUGUUUUACUUCACUAAAGUUGUCAAACUCACUAAACCAUCUAACCCACCAGGUAGCUAAACCCAAAAACCGGUCAAUAAUUUGAUCAGUAUCUUGUAAGAUGAGCACAUGACAUGUACGAGCGUGCCCUUUAGUAUUACUCAACCCAUAUCUUAAAAGACGCUUCUUUAUGACAUUUAUUGGAGCAAUAAUCUUUAUAUCAAAAACAGGUUCAGAAGAAGAG